AGGGCACUGGACCCCUGGAGCUGGAAUGACAGGUGGAUGUAGUGAGUGCUGGGGACUCAGAUUCAGAUGAGCUCUCUCUCUAGCCCCAAGGUAGGAACCUGUUGUCCUCUGAAAGUCUCUAACCAGCAGCUGACUCAGAUACAGACAUCCACAGCAAAACAGGAAUGGAGUUUGGGGAGUCUUUUGGAAGAACAUGAUGAAGGAUUGCAGCCUCUAAGGAGAUAAGAACUCCACAGGAAGACCAACAAAGUCAACUAACUCGGACCCUUGGGUUUAAGAGACUGAAUCACCAGGC
rnacentral:lncRNA from 1 species